GUCCCCGUAGCGCAGUGGAUAGCGCGCUGGACUUCUAAUCCAGAGGUCGCGGGUUCGAAUGCCGCCGGGGAUG
rnacentral:tRNA from 1 species